rnacentral:lncRNA from 1 species
AGUACAACUUAUAUAUAUUGAUAAAUUUGCACGAUUUUAACAUUUGAGAAAACAAACAAAUAAUGGGAAACAAUUUAUAAAAAAAAAAAAAAAAAUCUUCUUUGGAAUCAUUAAACCAUAGUAAAAAACAAAUAUUUGUCCCGAUUUGUUUAUACUUUAUGGAAAUCUCACAUUCACAUCCAUACAAGUAUAUGUCAUAUACCCCAAAAAACAGUUUUACAAAAG